AUUUACAUCUAAAUUUUAACUUUGCACUUUAAAUUUUUAACUUAAAUCAUUCCCCGGUAGCUCAGCGGUAGAGCAGGAAGCUGUGUUAGCAGCCUCCGACGGAAACAUCGGAGUGAAAAGUGGGUGAAUUCAGGGAACGUCCUGAGCGAAGUCGAAGGAUAACCCUGAGCCAAGACCUAUGAGAUACAUUAAGAUCUCACGGGUAAGGUGCAGAGACUAGGUGAAUUACACCCAACGCUAAGUCUGACUUGGCUUGAGCGCCCACCACCUAAGCCCUGAAUAGAUCGAAGGGUAUGGUGAUGAGAUAGUCCAAAAAGUAACUUCAAG
rnacentral:ncRNA from 1 species